UAGGGAAUCUUCGGCAAUGGGGGCAACCCUGACCGAGCAACGCCGCGUGAGUGAAGAAGGUUUUCGGAUCGUAAAGCUCUGUUGUAAGAGAAGAACGUGUGUGAGAGUGGAAAGUUCACACAGUGACGGUAACUUACCAGAAAGGGACGGCUAACUACGUGCCAGCAGCCGCGGUAAUACGUAGGUCCCGAGCGUUGUCCGGAUUUAUUGGGCGUAAAGCGAGCGCAGGCGGUUUAAUAAGUCUGAAGUUAAAGGCAGGGGCUUAACCAUUGUUCGCUUUGGAAACUGUUAAACUUGAGUGCAGAAGGGGAGAGUGGAAUUCCAUGUGUAGCGGUGAAAUGCGUAGAUAUAUGGAGGAACCCCGGUGGCGAAAGCGGCUCUCUGGUCUGUAACUGACGCUGAGGCUCGAAAGCGUGGGGAGCAAACAGG
rnacentral:rRNA from 1 species